AUUGAACGCUGGCUGCAGGCCUAACACAUGCAAGUCGGGCGAGCGGCGGCCGGGUGAGUACUGUAUGGGGACUGCCUGAUGGAGGGGGAUCCCUACUGGCAACGGUCGCUCAUACCGCAUACCCUCCUCUAACCCAUAUGCGAUAAGCUUGUAGGUAAGGUAACGGCUUACCUAGGCGACGAUCCCUAGCUGGUCUGAGAGGAUGAUAAGCGACACGUGGACUGAGAACCGGCACAGAGUCCAACGGAGGAAGCAGGGGGGAAAAGUGCACAAUGGGCGCAAGGAUGAUAGAGACAUGCCGCGUGUAUGAAGAAGGCCUUCGGGUUGUAAAGGACGUACAGUCGGGAGGCGUUACCGACAGAAGAAGCACCGGAUAACUCCGUGCCAGCAGCCGCGGUAAGUC
rnacentral:rRNA from 1 species